AUGGCCAUCUUCGACGAGUUCUACAUUGGGUCCAUUGACCUCGGGCGCCUCAACUAUGGGAUCAUUUCACUCAUCCCCAAGGUGCCUGGGGCUUCCGACAUACGCCAGUUUCGACCGAUCGCGGUGAUUAAUGUGAUCUUUCGGAUUCUUUCAAAAUGAUAUGCCAAUAGGGUGACCCUGCUUGCCGACCACAUUACCCACCCCAACCAACCUGCCUUCAUUCAAGGCCGGUAUAUCCUGGAUGGGGUGCUAGUACUUCAUGAAGUCCUCCAUGAGGUCCGUUCUAAACACCUCAGGGCGAUUUUCCUGAAGAUCGAUUUCCAUAAGGCGUACGACACUGUUAGUUGGCCCUUCCUUCAGGAAGUUCUGCUCCAGAAGGGCUUCGACGACCGUUGGAUCACCAGAGUGAUGCAGAUGGUUUCCUGCGGUCGCACUGCCGUGAACAUCAAUGGGGAGAUUGGUCCUUACUUCCCCACUCUUUGUGGGGUUAGACAAGGCGACCAUUUCUCCCCAUUCUUGUUCAACAUGGUCGUGGACGCGCUUGCCGCCAUCCUGGACAAGGCUAACGUUGCGGGCCAUAUUCGUGGGAUCACUCCCCACCUGGCCGGUGGCUCCGGGAUUUCCCUUCUCUAG
rnacentral:rRNA from 1 species